CGGAACAUAGCUCAGUCGGCAGAGCAGGGAACAGCUUUCCUGUGUCACCAGUUCGAUUCUGGUUGUUCCGC
rnacentral:tRNA from 1 species